ensembl:lncRNA
CAGCUUCUAACUAGGGUAAAAAUGUAUAUCUGACACAUGUCUUUCAUCUUGAAUACAGGAGGAACCCGUAAAUCUCAACAAUAGGAAGAUUAGAAAGAAAUUUAGAACAGAAUGCAAAGAUUUGAACAGAUAAAUUGUUUUAAUAAGACAUGUGGAUGACAGCUAAGUGGAUGGAAAGAUGUUGGACACCAUUUGCUCCUGGUACAGACAGAUUAAAUCACCAUGGGAUAUGUGAGGUGUCUGCCAACGUAUUCCAACCCAAUGAUGAUUCCAAGUGUUGUCAGACAUAUGGAGAACCUGGGACCUCAGAUAUACUCCCCAGGAGAAAAAGUGGUGUAACUAUCUUGGAUAUAAUUUGCUAAAUUCUACAAAACAUUAAGCUCUCUAUUAUAUGACUUGUUCAUGUCAUUCACAGGUAUUAUCCAAAGGACAAAUAAUGUCUUCACAGAGCCUGGUACAUGCCUAGAAGUUUUAUUUUUACCCACUUAUCGGACAGUGUUCCAGGUACACAUUUCUCCUGUAGAGGCUGGCAGUCACCCCAUUUAUUGCAGCAACUUCUUCCUACCUAGAAGGAAGCUUUCCUACAAGAUUGGUGAAACCUCUUGGCUUUGCUGCUGGAGAGUUCUAAGACUGAAAUUGCUGAAGAACUGGAGCUGUUUCCUACUUCCUCCAAAUUCCUAACACUCCAGGGCUCACCACCUGUUGAUGGUCCAUGGAAGCAGAAUGAGGUGAGCAUUACAACUUGGAAUUUCAAUCUCAAGGAGCAAGGCUCAGAAGGAAAACAGCUACUCGGGGAGGAGAAAUGAGAGUGUGGAAGAUUUCUAGAGACAGACAUAGGGUAGAUGAUGGGCGGCAGCUGUGGUGGUGUGGACAGAGCUCUGGGAGCCCAGGGUGUGAUGCUAAAUUCAAUUCCACUCUCAAAUUUUCACAGGAAGAUUCAGGCAGGGAUCUUUCCAUCUGAGCCAACCUUGUAAAUAAUUAUAGUUCCCAUCUUAGAAACAUUGCGAUCCUUACACAGAACAGCACACAUGAAUGUGUUCGGCAUACAGCAACAUUGAAUGCGAAUGGAUUGAAUUGAGUGUAAAGAGACAAAUUAGUGUUAUGGUAGAAACAGUCCCCAUCACUCUGACACUGGGCAUUUAGAUACUCAAAUUAGAUACCUGGAUCAUCAGCACAUCAGCUACUGUCCUCAGACUCUGUGACAAGUACCAAAGAAAAACAGCUCAAAGGAGUAAAUACUGAUUUUGGCUUGGGGCUUCAGAGGCUUCAGUCUAUGACCCACUGACCCCAUUGUUUAUAAACCUCUGGCAGAGAAGAAACCUUGUGGUGGAAAAGCAGGGUGGAGGAAUGGAAGGAAUGGAGGACAGAAUGUCAUGGGAAAGAGAGAAGAGAGAACGGGAAGGAGAAGGAUAAUGAUGAUGGCAAUGAGGAGAAGGAGAGGAAGAGAGGGAAGAGAAGGAGGAAAAGUAGGAAAAAGGAGAGGAAAGAGACACAAGACAUAACUCCACAGGUAUCCCUGCCACCCUGUGACCCACUUCCUCCACUCCCACCCUAUCUUCCUUCCAUACAUUUGACUGAUUUCUAGUAGUCCAUUCAGCUAAGGCACCCAUUAGAGGCCUCAUAGUCCAAUCAUUGUAGUCAUGACACCAGCUUGGGAUCAAGCCUUUCACACAUAUGUUUUUUGUUUGUUUGUUUUGUUUUUUUCGAGUCACGGUUUUUCUGUGUAGCCCUGGCUGUCCUGGAACUCACUCUGUAGACCAGACUGAACUUUAACUCAGAAAUCUGCCUGCCUCUGCCUCCCAAGUGCUGGGAUUAAAGGCAUGCACCACCACGCCCGGCUCACACAUAUGUUUUUUAAAGAUGAUUUUACAUUAAGUUCAUCUGUGUUUGAGUAUGUACCUACCAUAGCAUCCCUGUGGAGACUAAAUGGUAACUCCAGAGACAAGUUUUCUCCUUCUUCUAUGUAGGUUGGGGGUAGGAGCAAACUCAGGUCAUCAGGCUUCGCAGCAAUUGUAUUUAUCCCUUCAGUCACCUUGCUGGCCCCACCAAUGAACCUUUUAAGAGGUCACUUCACAUUCAAAUAACAACUCAUAAGAAAUAGGAAAUGAAGGUGAGAGCACUUACAUGAACUUGAGCUACUCCAUUCAAGGCUAAGUCCAUGAUUUUUCUCUCUUUGAAAACUCCUUGAGAGAAAUCGAAGACUUGGUAUCAGCAACCUGCAUCAUCACUGGCUUUAAUGCAGCCCCAAGUAACCAGCAGGGGACUGUGGGAACAUGUUGGAUCAGCUUUGGAAACACACAUAGUGCCACUGGGCUUCUGUCCUUGGCCUUUCUAGUGUAUGCACACUAAUUGGCCUGGGAAGUCCUGGGUAUUUGCCUCCUUAAAAGACUUGGCUGAUUCAAUGGAGGUUCCUCUGAAAAUGCAGCCAGCUUGAGACCUUCUCAAGGUGGGCUUAAUUGCUCUCUUAGGUUGAUGUGUUGCCUCCAUUGGGGGAUCCCAGCUAUAAUCUGUCUUUCACUUUCCAUGCCUAUGUGUAUUAUGUUGUAAUAAUAGAUAUAUUUUCAAAACCCAGUGCUGUUUCAUAAGAUGUGUUUUCCUUAUAUGAUGAGGGCAUGGGAUAUGGAGAGAAAGGUUUUGCUCCACAGGGACCCAGGCCAAUAUAGACAGGAUGUAGUAAGUAUGUGUCUUUCAAGGUCAUGUCCAUUUCCAGGCAGAUGGAAAAACAAAUCAUGAAUAAUCAUGGUGAUGAUUUUGAAAGAUGAGAAUAGGAAAUAGCACGUGUCCCUCUGUCGUGAGCAGCAGAUCCCAGAGAGGUGAGGAGGUGUGCGCUCGGGAUGGCUUAUCAUAUGAAACUUCUGCACCAAGACUACAUAGAAUUUGUUUAGUGAGGCAGGACAUUGAGAACUUAGGAGAGUGGCUCCUGGAUCAUGAUUAUGUAACUUGAACCCCGAUUAUCCAUCUUCAUCAUCAAUGGUUUCCUUACCUGUGAAACAGUCUUGAUAAUAUGUGUUGGAAUAAACACAAAGAUUCUUAGGAGUUAAAGGCA